rnacentral:rRNA from 1 species
AAAAUACUAAAAUAGUAAUUAAAUAUUUAUUGAAACUUAAAUAAUUUGGCGGUAUUUUAGUUCAUUUAGAGGAAUCUGUUUAAUAAUUGAUAUUCCACGAAUAAAUUUACUUAUUUUAUAAUUUUGUAUAUCGUUGUUAUAAAAAUAUUUUUUAAUGAAAUUAAUGUUUAAAAAUUAAUAUGAAAAAUUAAAUCAAAUCAAGAUGCAGAUUAUAAUUAAGAAUAUAAUGGAUUACAAUAAAUUUAUUUAAAUGAAUUUUAUUUUGUAAUAUUUAAUUGAAGGUGGAUUUAAAUGUAAUUUUAUUUAAUUUAAUAAAAUGAUUAAAAAUUAAAAUAUGU